rnacentral:rRNA from 1 species
UACGAGGGGGGCGAGCGUUGUUCGGAAUUAUUGGGCGUAAAGGGUGCGUAGGCGGCCUGACAAGUCUGAUGUGAAAUCCCUGGGCUCAACCCAGGGCCUGCAUCGGAAACUGUCGGGCUUGAGUAUGGGAGAGGUGAGUGGAAUUUCCGGUGUAGCGGUGAAAUGCGUAGAUAUCAGGAGGAACACCUGCGGUGUAGACGGCUUUCUGGACCAUUGCUGACGCUGAGACACGAAAGCGUGGGUAGCAAACAGG